UCCUCAAAACUUUUGAGUGCUCUUAGGUGU
rnacentral:piRNA from 1 species